rnacentral:rRNA from 1 species
CCCUUAGAUGUCCUGGGCCGCACGCGCGCUACACUGAGUGUCUGAGAUACGAGUCUGCCUGGUCCGGCAAGGUCUAGGUAAUCGCUAAAAGAAACAUCAUGCUUGGGAUAGAUUAUUGCAAAUAUUAAUCUUGAACGAGGAAUUCCUAGUAAGCGCAAGUCAACAGCUUGCGUUGAUUACGUCCCUGCCCUUUGUACACACCGCCCGUCGCUACUACUGAUUGGAUGUUUAAGCGAGGUUCUCGAACUGCUAGCGACUUAGCUUCGGUGAGGUCGCAGUGUGGGAAGUGAACCUAGCUUUGGUGUCUAGAGGAAGUAAAAGUCGUAACA